GGAGCCAUAGCUCAGUGGUAGACCAUGCGCCUUGCAUGCAAAAGUCCCUAAGUUCAAUUCCUGACAUCUCCA